rnacentral:tRNA from 1 species
GUAGCUAAGCAUGUAGAAAGCGUAUACAGUACCAUGACUGGACGAGAGUUCGAAUCUCUCCGGCUCCA